rnacentral:tRNA from 1 species
CAAGGAAUAGUUUAUGCAGAAUUUCAGCUUUGGGUG